UGGGGGAUAUUGCACAAUGGGCGAAAGCCUGAUGCAGCGACGCCGCGUGGGGGAUGAAGGCUUUCGGGUUGUAAACCUCUUUCGCUAUCGAACAAGGCCCGCUUAGGGUGGGUUGAGGGUAGGUGGAGAAGAAGCGCCGGCUAACUACGUGCCAGCAGCCGCGGUAAUACGUAGGGCGCGAGCGUUGUCCGGAAUUAUUGGGCGUAAAGGGCUUGUAGGCGGCUUGUUGCGCCUGCUGUGAAAACGCGGGGCUUAACUUCGCGCGUGCAGGGGGUACGGGCAGGCUUGAGUGUGGUAGGGGUGACUGGAGUUCCAGGUGUGGAGGUGGAAUGCGCAGAUAUCUGGAGGAGCACCGAUGGCGAAGGCAGGUCACUGGGCCAUUACUGACGCUGAGGAGCGAAAGCAUGGGUAGCGAACAGG
rnacentral:rRNA from 1 species